rnacentral:rRNA from 1 species
GCAGCCGCCACGGUAAUACAGAGGGUGCGAGCGUUAAUCGGAUUUACUGGGCGUAAAGCGUGCGUAGGCGGCUUCUUAAGUCGGAUGUGAAAUCCCUGAGCUUAACUUAGGAAUUGCAUUCGAUACUGGGAAGCUAGAGUAUGGGAGAGGAUGGUAGAAUUCCAGGUGUAGCGGUGAAAUGCGUAGAGAUCUGGAGGAAUACCGAUGGCGAAGGCAGCCAUCUGGCCUAAUACUGACGCUGAGGUACGAAAGCAUGGGGAGCAAACAGGAUUAGAUACCCGCGUAGUCCCUGUCUCUUAUAC